GUCAAGGACCCGCCGCUAAAUCUUUGUAGAUUCUAGCGGAGGCUUGGAAACAAGCCCACAUUGACCAGCCCACCCACGGGUAAACGAUAUCAAGGUCACGACACCCCAGGAUGCGUGCCAGUUCUGGGCAACUGUCGCUCAAAAUUAAACAGUAAGGACGGGAACCAAGCAGUGUUUUGAGCCGAACAAGCCAUGAUAUCCGGGCGAGGCAAACUUUAC
rfam:Nostoc calcicola FACHB-389 FACHB-389_Scaffold_279, whole genome shotgun sequence.